rnacentral:tRNA from 1 species
GGAGAGGUGGCCGAGCGGCUGAAGGCGAUCGCCUGCUAAGCGAUUAUGGGGCGCAAACUCCAUCCCGGGUUCGAAUCCCGGCCUCUCCGCCA